rnacentral:rRNA from 1 species
GACGAACGCUGGCGGCGUGCUUAACACAUGCAAGUCGAACGGAAAGGCCCUGCUUUUGUGGGGUGCUCGAGUGGCGAACGGGUGAGUAACACGUGAGUAACCUGCCCUUGACUUUGGGAUAACUUCAGGAAACUGGGGCUAAUACCGGAUAGGAGCUCCUGCUGCAUGGUGGGGGUUGGAAAGUUUCGGCGGUUGGGGAUGGACUCGCGGCUUAUCAGCUUGUUGGUGGGGUAGUGGCUUACCAAGGCUUUGACGGGUAGCCGGCCUGUGAGGGUGACCGGCAAAAUUGGGACUGAGAGACGGACCAGACUCCUACGGGAGGCAGCAGUGGGGAAUAUUGCACAAUGGGCGGAAGCAUGAUGCAGAAACGCGGCGUGCGGGAUGACGGCCUUCGGGUUGUAAACCGAUUUCGACUGUGACGAAGCGUGAGUGACGGUAAUGGGUAAAGAAGCACCGGCUAACUACGUG